rnacentral:misc_RNA from 1 species
UUAACUAUUGUAUAGUACUCAGACAACACUAAUAUUUAGAGUUUAGGGGUCCUUUGGCGGGCACUUACCAGCCAGAGCCGGUAGCCGAAGCGGCCCGCCAAAGCAACAAUGGUAUAGUAUUCAAGGGUGGGAGAUCUACCCGUGAGGGCAUGAACUCUGUAAUGAUCCUUCCGCAGGUUCACCUACGGAAA